CUGGGAUGCUGCGAUUACAGCGUGGUUUGCUGGAGCUGCGGCAUGGUGGCACUCAGGGGGAGAGCCUGCCGCCUUAGGGAGGCAAGAAGAGGUGGGGGUGGGGAUACAUGCGGACAUGGGAGUGGCGGCAGCGCAAGUUGGGGCUGUGAUCGGCCUCUGUUCUCCACGGGGCUCUUGCAGUCCCCGUGCCUGCUACACUCUCAGGGAUUUCUGAUCCAUGUCUCUGACUCGAUUUGUGGCUAUUUGCCAGAGAGAUGCUUUGGAAAAGAUCCAGGCCCCCAAUUCCCACGCUCUGCCCUCAAGAGCACCUGCAGAAGACAAGCCUUGGAAGGCCACGGUUCAGCAAGCCCUGUGGUCUGGCCUCAAGCUCAGCUGCAGGAACAACACCUUGGAAAAGCUCCAGGGGCUGUUGGCCGGAGCACCUGGAGCAACUGCUGGCAACACUUGGUCUCGGUCAGAAGCUCUCACUCCAUGCUGAAAUGAUUUUCUCAUUGAAGUAAUUUCCUUCAGCACAAAAACACCUUAGUGGCAAAGGCACAGAAGAAUCUGGCAUUUAAGAUUCCUCACUUCAGGAAAGCAUUACUUCUCGUUGCUCAACUCAAGUAGUUCCAAAAAUCUGCAAACUUCCCACCUUCACUGGGAUGGCCUGAGAAGGUGAAGAGUUGGAAUUUUGCUUCCUGUCUCAAAGCAGCAACUCAUUUGCCUUGACAUCAUCCACUGAGAGUCACUUAACAUAACACUGCACAGAGGUAAAAAAAGGGCCAUUCUUUGGUUUGCAAAUGGUUUUCUAAGAAGGGAUGGUAUUAUCCUAAUUCUCUUAAAGAAUAAAAGCUCUCAAGAAAUUAAA